UACAUGGGGUGCAAACGUUGCUCGGAAUUAUUGGGCGUAAAGCGCACGUAGGCGGUCCGUUAAGUCGGAUGUGAAAUCCCCCGGCUCAACCGGGGAAGUGCAUCCGAAACUGGCGGGCUAGAGUACGAAAGAGGGUCGCGGAAUUCCCGGUGUAGAGGUGAAAUUCGUAGAUAUCGGGAGGGACACCGGUGGCGAAGGCGGCGACCUGGGUCGAUACUGACGCUGAGGUGCGAAAGCGUGGGGAGCAAACAGG
rnacentral:rRNA from 1 species